rnacentral:miRNA from 1 species
UCUGUGUGUAGCCUUGGCUGUCCUGGAACUCACUCUGUAGACCAGGCUGGCCUCCAACUCAAAGAGAGUCACCUGCCUCUGCCUACCAAGUGCUGGGAUUAAAGACAUGAGCCACCACUGCCC